rnacentral:lncRNA from 1 species
UGCUUUAAACGGUUUGUCUUUUUAAAAACCUUUUCAUGUGGACAUAUCUUUCAUCGUGUGGGUUUGAAAAUACGGCUGUUGAUAAUCGUAGGUUACAAAUCCCGCUACAUCCAUUUCAUCAAGCUUUAUUUAAAUGUGCAUUUGACACUGCAGGACACUUUACAUGUUGUCCUGCUCACAUCAUUAUAUUCUGUUACUACGGUCCUGCUUCCCCUGACUGUCUGUCUGACUGACUGUCUGUCUGUCGUUCUCCCAGGGAGUGUCUGUCUGUCUGUCUGACUCUCUGUCGUUCUCCCAGGGAGUGUCUGUCUGACUGACUGUCUGUCUGACUGACUGUCUGUCUGUCUGACUCUCUGUCGUUCUCCCAGGGAGUGUCUGUCUGUCUGUCUGACUCUCUGUCGUUCUCCCAAAGAGUGUCUGUCUGUCUGACUGACUCUGCCAUUCUCCCAGGGAGUGUCUGUCUGUCUGACUGACUCUGCCCUUCUCCCAAAGAGUGUCUGUCUGUCUGUCUGACUCUCUGCCAUUCUCCCAGGGGGUGUCUGUCUGUCUGUCUGUCUGUCUGUCUGACUGACUCUGUCAUUCUCCCAGGGAGAUUCUUUAAGUUUCCUCCGGAUGCUUCCACCAUGAUGACGUCAUCAGUCCUGGACAGGCGUCACCGUCACCAGACCGACCCCAGUGUGAACUACGUCAACAUCCCCGUUAGCCCUGCGGCUAAAGCUAACAGAGCUGGCAGAGAGCUGCUCUACAUGGAGCUGGAUCUCCAGCCGGAGCCCUACGGUGGGCCAGUUUCCACCAACACCACUGCAGCGAGGGGUAACCCUUUGCAGCUGUGCAGACCCAUAGGGGGCUCCACCACAUACGCCCACAUAGACAUCACAGCCCUCAGAGACAGCUCAGAGAGUAGGAGCAGAACACGCCCAGAGGAGAGAGGCAGGCUGAUGGAGCUGGAGGAGAACACGCCCAGGGAGAGAGGAUAGGCUGAUGGAGCUGGAGGAGAACACGCCCAGGGGAGAGAGGAUAGGCUGAUGGAGCUGGGAGAACACGCCCACCAGAGGAGAAGAGGUAGGCUGAUGGAGCAGCUGA